UUACAGCUUGCCUGUAGCUACAUUUUGAUCUCUGUUUCAGGCUCCUGUUAGUGGUAUUUUUUAUGCUCUGCAACUAGUUUUGUUUUAUGUUUUUAUGCUCUACAUUUUGAUCACAUGCUUUUAACCUUUGAAAAAUGGCACUACUAAAUUUCUUUUUAUUUAAGUCUUUUAACUCUAAGGCUAAAAUGGUAGCUACAAAGGGGAUACCUCCCAAAGACUAGGAGCCUAAGACAAUUGGCAUCUAAUUAUGUAUCUGAGCUCUAUUUAUAUGAUCUUGUUUACUUUCUGACCUUAAAUUCAACCUAAUUGUUUCUAGAUCUUAAUCUACAUGCUCCUUUCAUUAUUUACCCCUUUUCAUGUGUUUUGCAGAAGGAGAAAUUGAUUAUGUGAGGGUUUUGAAUGGAGCCCUUCCAAAUGAUAUGGGAGUUUUAGGCUGGUGUUCUGUUCCAAUUGAUUUCAGUGCAAGGUUUAGCUAUCUGAGCAGGGAGUACAAAUAUUUCUUUUGGGAAGACAAUCUAAAUCUCUAGGCAAUGGAAAGCUCUGGUGAGAAAUUUAUAGGUGAACAUGACUUCCGAAUUUUCUGUAAGAUGGAUGCACUAAAUGUGCACACCUGCAUGUGUCGUGACAAGUCAUUUGAAAUUGCUCCUUGUGAUGUGAGGUUAACACUGCUAAGCAAAUCAACCUCACAACAAAGACAAGUGCACAAUGGAAUGGAUGAUGAAUUGGAGGGUGGAGCAAGCUUCAUGGUUUACUUUUUGUGUAUCUUGUUAUGAUUCUGUUUUUUACUUUUGAAGCAAAAGAUGUGAAGACUAUAGAAUUUUAUUAUGUAUGCUUUCAAACUCAAGUUAGAACUAAGAACUUUUGAAGUGGACAGCGUCAUCAUGGUUUGAAGUAGUUU